rnacentral:rRNA from 1 species
UACGGAGGGUGCAAACGUUGCUCGGAAUCAUUGGGCGUAAAGCGCACGUAGGCGGCUUGGCAAGUCGGAUGUGAAAUCCCUCGGCUCAACCAAGGAAGUGCAUCCGAAACUGCUGAGCUUGAGUACUUAAGAGGAUCGCGGAAUUCCCGGUGUAGAGGUGAAAUUCGUAGAUAUCGGGAGGAACACCAGUGGCGAAGGCGGCGAUCUGGGAAGAUACUGACGCUGAGGUGCGAAAGCGUGGGGAGCAAACAGGG